UGAGGAAUAUUGGUCAAUGGACGCAAGUCUGAACCAGCCAUGCCGCGUGCAGGAUGACGGUCCUAUGGAUUGUAAACUGCUUUCGCACAGGAAGAAACAACAUUACGUGUAAUGUCUUGACGGUACUGUGAGAAUAAGGAUCGGCUAACUCCGUGCCAGCAGCCGCGGUAAUACGGAGGAUCCAAGCGUUAUCCGGAAUCAUUGGGUUUAAAGGGUCCGUAGGCGGUUUAGUAAGUCAGUGGUGAAAUCCCAUCGCUCAACGGUGGAACGGCCAUUGAUACUGCUAGACUUGAAUUAUUAGGAAGUAACUAGAAUAUGUAGUGUAGCGGUGAAAUGCUUAGAGAUUACAUGGAAUACCAAUUGCGAAGGCAGGUUACUACUAAUGGAUUGACGCUGAUGGACGAAAGCGUGGGUAGCGAACAGGAUUAGAUACCCUGGUAGUCCACGCCGUAAACGAUGGAUACUAGCUGUUGGAAGCAAUUU
rnacentral:rRNA from 1 species